rnacentral:rRNA from 1 species
CCUACGGGUGGCAGCAGUGAGGAAUAUUGGUCAAUGGCCGCAAGUCUGAACCAGCCAAGUCGCGUGCAGGAUGACGGUCCUAUGGAUUGUAAACCUCUUUUGUCAGGGAGCAAAGGGCGCCACGUGUGGCGCUUUUCGAGUACCUCAAGAAAAAGCAUCCGCUCACUCCUUGCCAGCAGCCGCGGUACUACGGGGGAUGCGAGGGUUAUCCGGAUUUUUGGGGUUUAAAGGGUGCGCGGGCGGAAUUUCAAGUCAGCGGUAAAAUUUCGGGGCUCACCCCCGUCGUGCAGUUGAAACUGGCGUUCUUGAGUGAGCGAGAAGUAUGCGGAAUGCGUGGUGUAGCGGUGAAAUGCAUAGAUAGCACGAAGAACUCCGAUUGCGAAGGCAGCAUACCGGCGCUCAACGGACGCUCAUGCACGAAAGCGUGGGUAUCGAACAGGAUUAGAUACCCUUGUAGUC